UCAUCGUGCAUCAUCAUCGAUUUCCUGAGCCGACAGGACCGCUGGUGAGGGGCAGCGGGACGCGGUGUUAUUUUCUUCUGGUCCCAGCAGAUGGCAAUGGAGAAAUGCAAUUUCUGGUACCUGAAGAAUGUGAGACUCUGAUGAUGUGCAAAAAGGAAAAAAUAAAAAAAUAAAAAGAAGAAAAGCAGAACCAGGAGAAAAACGUAUUCAAUUUACCAGAGGAGACCUACACGAGAGAGACCGCAUCGGGGAAACGCGACGGUCCGGGGGAGAGAGGAGAGAACGUACGUCCUAACCGUCCCUCAUCUCCGUGCGGUAACUCGGCGAGAAGUUAACGGCUCACAGCAGAGCGAGGGGACCUCGAGGAGCCACGGAAAAGGUGCCCUCGUCGCAGACACGAGAGGAUGGAUUUCUCAGAUCUCCAAGGGACCGAGGACCAUCAUUUUCCCUUGGAAGUCAUCACUGUGGUGUCACAGAGAGAAGAUUGUGACUUCAUGAUUAAGAGCAGAAACAGAAGAAGGCCCCAAAAUCUCAUUUUCUGGAAUGACUCGAGUAUUGGAUCAGAAGAGAAAUAAGAAAACAGUCGAUCGUUAAACAGAAUGAUUUCUAAA